UCUCAUGUUAUUGAAGGCAGUGCUUUGAAGGGAUAGCCUUCUCAAUUAAAUUACAUGAAAUAGUGUUGCAAUAUCAUGCAUAAACCUAAUUUCCUGUUUUUUAUUUGUCAUGUCUCAGGAAAACAUUCCGCACCACACCACUGCUGGUCAGUCAGCUGAGUGCAAGACACAUAGAUGGAGAGAGGAAAAUAUUUUGAAGGCGAGUUAGUCCCAUGAAGACAUAGUGGACUAAUUCAUGGACUAACUUUAACAUAGUGUACCUACUCAUGGACUAACUUUAACAUCGUGUACUAACUCAUGGACUAACUUUAACAUAGUGUACUAACUCAUGGACUAAUUUUAACAUAGUUCUACGUCUUAUAAUUUUCUCAAGGAAUUGAAUGCCUAUAACCAUUGAUAAUACACCACACUGACUAUCUCCUCAGAUGCAGUGGCAACCCAGUAUUGGACUGAAAUAGAGAGGAAUCGUUCGUCGGACACCCCAGACAGAGCAUCGGAGACGGACAUGAAAAAGCAAAGGCUGCGUUGCCAGAAGCAGGUUAUUGUAACGGCAGAUUUCCUCCUCUUCGUUUGAAGAGGAGUAAGGAUCGGACCAAGAUGCGGCGUGGCUUUGGCCAGUCGCCUAACAUUGCUUUCUGCUGAAGAGUGGCGACGAUUUGAGGGGGCAACUGAAGAAAUUCUGUCUGAUUUGGAGACGAACCCAGAAGACCUCAGUGCACGCUAUAGUUGACCUGAUUGCGUUGGCAGACCGGAGGAGAAGGGCCAAGCACUGUCAGAACAAAAACCGGAGCAACCGUCCACAUCCACUGCAGCCCUACCCAGAACCACAGACAAUCACCUGCACUCCCACUCACUCACCCACCCUUACACACACACACACACACACACACACACACACACACACACACACACACACACAAACAUACA